GCCGCUAAUUUCUCUGUUUAUUUUUUAAAGUUGGAACCGGCGAAGCGUGGAAUUGGGCGGGGAAAUUGUUUUCGAAGUCGUCAUGUUCCUUCUCGCGUUGUCGACGGCGGUGGUUUCGGCCGAAGGUUAUCAGCAUGGACCAGAAUGCAGCAUGGCCACUCACAGCUUGCGUGGCCUAUCAGUUACGGUUAAAGAUAUUAUGCUGGGAUUUUUAUUUUGCGUGAGAGGCCAAUAGGACAGUUGGAUGGGGUAGGCUAGGUCGUUGUUUUUUACAGUUGGAUUACAGAGUGAAUUGCUGUUAUGAAAGAAUGGAAUUUAGCUUUCACCUGCUACAUUCUGACAGUGCUAACAGUUUCGGAGCGAUUGUCCGUUGUCGGUAAGUGAUUGCUAGCAGUGGAUUCAAAUAAUAUUAUCGAAAUGAGCAUGAACUGCAGUAUAACACAACUGGCUACUGAGCCAAGUUAGGUCUGCCGGCCUAAGCUACCGGUAGGCCUACUGUCUGACUGUUAAGUUAACUUUAUGUCUGAAGUAGGCUACAUGCUGUUAUCUCAAGUUACAGACACACAGGCCUACAACUUGAUGACUGCAGUCUACUGGGUCUAUAAAACAGUACAACUAGCCUAUGUCAGUCUGCCAUCUAUUUCCUUCUUAAACAGUUACCGACAACUCAUUGCAGUGUUAAAUUGGUACUUUUAUCACACUGCUUGCACAGCUAUAGACCUGGUAUAUACCGGUAUACUGGUAUUUGUUUUAGGCCCUUUUGAGCCUCAUAAUGAAUUUUUAUGUGUGUCCAAUGGAAGGUUGUGAAUGAAAGAUGAGGGGGACAGAUGAACUAUCACUUCAUUUACGUCACCAACAUGAUCUGUCAAAGAAGAAAUAUAUAAAUAUUACUUGUUCUCAAAAUCAAUGUUGCACAACCUUUACUCGACUUGACAAUUUUUUACGGCAUGUGAAAAAAAUCCACCAACUAGUAUUAGAAUUUCGACGUGUGUCGAGGAAUUUCCAAAGCUGAAGUUGAAGUUGAAGGGAACAACCGGAUAUGGCCAUUAUUAUGAUCCUCUUCGUGGUUCCGGCUUUAUAGAAAACAAGCUCAAAACUUUACGAAAACAAAUGGCAAUAGAAGAUAAGAUGUAUAAAAACAAAAGAGAAGCCACUCAACAUAUGCAAGUAGUUUCAGUUUUGGGAGUAGCGAAGAUGCUGACACCAGUGGGAGUACUGUUGAACUGGAUGCCUCACUUCUGGAAGACGAUAGCCAUAUACUGAAAAAGAUUAAAUGGCUGAAAGAAACCACACCUAACAAGGACAAUAAGGCAGAAAUAUAUAAUGAAGGAAAGUCAUGACUAUCGUAGGCUUGAAAUACAGCUGAAGCCUAUGACCUUAACUGACAUUUUAGAAAAGUACUCAAGGUUCUGUGAUGCUUAUGAGGGUGGAUUGAUGGACUAAAGAGUCUUCUAGUUCUAUCGAAGAUUUUUCCACCUCUCAACACAAAGGGGAAGUCUGAUACUGGCCGAAAUCUGAUCCUGAGGAAUUCUUCUUAAUUCUUGACAAGAAAGCGGUGCCAGUUGGAAAUUCAUCAUUGUUGGCUUUUUAUAGACUGUUCGCUUCGUUUUGGAUAUUUGGAAUUGAGUACUAUGAAAAACUGGCAACUUUCUUCAAUUUUUUUGAAGCUAUUCUUUUCGGCAUGGAUCCCAAACCUUCAGUGGCCUCAUUGUUGGCUGCAUUGGACUUUGUGUAAAAAAAAAAAUGAUCCUACAUAGACGGCUCAAAAUGAAAAUGUGCUUAUGCCGACCUUCGUAAUUUUUAAGUGUCCACUUUGUUUAUUUUGUUUUUAUACUGAUUUGGCCCUAUGAUAAACCAUCAUGUCAGAGUACGAAUUGAUGGUUUAUACACUUUAUAAAAAAUCGAUAUGUAUACACGAAUUAUGCAGUGUCUCUUUUUAGCGUUCAAAAAUGCAGAUUUUAUAGCCCGAUGUUCAUCUCAAAAUGAGAUUUUUUUUUGGAAUUUUCAAAAGCGAUUGUCUCAUAUCGCCAAAAUUUGACAUAGGCCACUACAGUUUUGAGUCGUCGAUGUGAGCAAACACUGGGGUCAUAAUUUUCAUUAUGAUUUCUUUCUGUGAAAUUUAUUUCAUUUUCUUUUGUUCAUUGGUGAUUGUGGUUUAGUCUGCAUCUUCGGUGAGUGUUUUUGAAGUUCUUUUCCAAGAAAAAUUUGGUAUAUUUAAUUUCUGCUUUUUUGGGUAAAUGCAUGGGUAACUUAAGAAAGUUGAAGUGGGGCUGUGGGAAUUGGAGAGGAAACCAAGAACUCACUUUUUGGUGACUCUAUCGAGUUGGAAACUUGACUCAAAAAAGAAUUAUCGCAAUUGAUCUUGACGACUCUAUCAAGAGAUAAAUUUGACUCAAAGAGGAGUCAUCGCACAUGACUCUUGACGACUCUAUCAAGCGAUAAAUUUGACUCAAAGAGAAGUCAUCGCACAUGACUCUUGACGACUCUAUCAAGGGAUAAACUUGACUCAAAGAGGAGUCAUCGCACAUGACUCUUGACGACUCUAUCAAGGUAUAAAUUUGACUCAAAGAAGAGUUAAUGUGCGUGACUCAAGUAAAG